GGUCACUCGUUUACCUAUAGCAUACAUCAGCAUGGACGAGGUGAUGGACUGCUAUUCCAUUGUGCUCUGCACGCAUGGGUUCGAAUCCCACCCUCAUGGUCCA